rnacentral:rRNA from 1 species
UACGGAGGGAGCUAGCGUUGUUCGGAAUUACUGGGCGUAAAGCGCACGUAGGCGGCUUUGUAAGUUAGAGGUGAAAGCCCGGGGCUCAACUCCGGAACUGCCUUUAAGACUGCAUCGCUUGAAUCCAGGAGAGGUGAGUGGAAUUCCGAGUGUAGAGGUGAAAUUCGUAGAUAUUCGGAAGAACACCAGUGGCGAAGGCGGCUCACUGGCUCGAUACUGACGCUGAGGUGCGAAAGCGUGGGGAGCAAACAGG